AUAGGCACUACUGAAACUGGGAUCGCGUGAUUUCCCUAACACGGCAAAGCUGACGUUAUUAAUUCACUCUGGGAGCCAGUGUGUUUGUCACAACUCCUUUGAUGCAAGUGAUAUAAUAACAACUCAAACCAGCUAAAACCAGAAAAGGAAUUAAUAAAUUAUUAACUCAGAAGGUAACUGGGGAUUUGAAAGGUGAAGUUGGAUUUAAGAUAAGCUCAGAUUCAGGAACACAAAGUGAUUGCUACUUUCUUUCCAUCUCCUGACUCCACCCUCCUCUGUUCAGUUUUCAUCUUCCGGUGGUGUCUCAAUCUGUGGCAAAAAGGCCCCAAGGCUCGAGGUCUGCACACCUUUACUGCUGGUGGGAAUUCAGACAUCUCCUGACCCUUCUCCUAGUCCAGGCCCUGUGAUAGAUGACAGCGUGUCAGACAGAGGAGAUGGAUGGCUUGAUGAGCUGAUGCAAAGGAGAAAGGUAUUGGGUCUGUGCUCCGGACACAGGGCUGGAGGAGGCUGGAAGAGAAGCACACAGGCUGCAGGCCCUUGAAAGGCAGGAACCAAAUUCAGCUCUCCUCUUACAUCUGCAAAAGUAUCAGCCCAGUUUGGAGACACGCUAUAGCUGUGCAUUACAGAUGCUAACUGAAUCAAGAGGCUGCAUAGAACAGCAAGGAACAGCCUGGGCUAAGGAAACCAGCACUUACUACCCUCUGCUGCUGCUGCCAAGUCACUUCAGUCGUGUCCGACUCUGUCUACACAGUGUGUAUAAGUCUCUUCUCUACACAAGGGGGAGCCCAUUAAAAAUCUGAGUUGGAUGGUGCAGCACACCCACGGGAAACCUUCUGAGUCUCUACCAGGGCUGGGCCCUAAUGAUACCUGUCUGGCUUCAUCUCCACGCUCACUCCAUUCCAGCCUCGUGUCCUCUCCACCGAGGGACUCUGACACGGUGCUUGCCUCUAUUUGGGUGGCUCUUCCUCAUCUUGGACAGUCCUUAAACCAACUCGGCUUCCAUGAAGGUUUUACGCUGUAGGAUAUCUAAGAGUUCGGAAGGCUCCAGGCCACAGCAGGUAUUGACCUGAGACAGGAUUUCUUGGCAGGACUGAAUCCCACAGGGAAACUCCUUUAUCUCCUGGUUCCUCCCUUACCUCUUCAGAACUGUGCCUCAGAGAUAUCUGAGAGCUUAGGUCCUUAGUGUCUGCUGAAUAAAACAUAAUUCUCAACUUGUCAGUUGCAUAUAUAUAUAUAUUUUUUUUGUCAACAGUUUUGGCAGCCACAAAGGGACCCAGAGCAGACUUUUCUCCUCUGCCUGAACUCUAAAGCCUCCAGAGCCUAGGUACCAGCAGAGGAUUCUUGGGCCUGUCUGCCUCCUCAGAGUCCAUAUGAAUUUGGGUGAAUCUCUCCUGUUAUUGGGCUUCCCUUGUGGCUCAGCUGGUAAAGAAUCCACCUGCAAUGCGGGAGACCU